rnacentral:lncRNA from 1 species
UUCCCACAUCUGGAGCUUUCUUUCAAGGCUGAUGUGAUCUUUCAUCUGGACAAGAAAGGCUUUGAUCCAAACUCUAAGAUCCCCCUAUCUCCCAGUUAAUUGGUGUUAGUGAGGUUCAUCUCUGG